GGUGAUUUUGCUCAUUGAUUCGAUUUAGUGAUGUUGUUUGUACUGUGCAGGAAAAUGGAAACUUGCUGUUUCGGACUUGCUUAAGGAUUCUAUUUCGAUUUUAGGAUUUUAGGGUUUGUUCAUCAUCUGUUACUAGGAUUUUAGGAUUUCAUAAAUCGAUUUAGGAUUUCAGGUUGUUAACCGAUUUUAGUGUUUCUUGUUCUAAUAUGAUUCUUUUUUUCGAUUUCAGUUUGUAAACCUGAAGAUGGGUUAAUUUCUCAGUUAAUUUCUCAGAUUUAUUUCCCUAACGUCUUCUUACUAUAUUUGAUUUUUCAGAUUUGGGUCUCUAGAGGUUUUAUUUGCUUAAUCUGAUUCUCUGUUUGUUCACAGAAGAAGGUGUAAUCAUCAUGUUCUCGAGGAUGUUUGGUAAUCCUAAAGAAGAAACUAAUGCCUUAACAACGUUGGAUAAAUUGAAUGGAAUUAGGUAUAUGGAGCUCUGCGAAUGUCUGUUAAAGUUUUCUUGAUGUUGAACUCCAAGAUACUAAUAGAUGGUGGUGCCGAUUCUCUUGUUGCAACAUCUCUGCUUGAGGCUAUUAACGUGGUUGUUCUUAACAUUGUUCACAAGUAUUGUUUCUUGUUCGGCUUAAUCUGCACUAGUUUGAGUUCGCCCUUGAUGCAUCUUUACCUGCAUGGUAAUUGAAGGAAUCUCUUUUGUUUAUGAGAAAGGACCCCAGCAGCACGUCUGACUUGUCGAACAAUAGUAGUCCAUCAAUUGAGCCAGCAAUGGAUUUGACUACUCCAGCAAGAAGCACUUCAGACGCGUCAAAGAAUGGUGGUCUAUCAAUUCAGCCCGCAGUUGUGGAUUCUCCUACUCCAGCUCCAGUAAGCUCCUUCGCCGCUACCACUUCAUUGGGCAUUGGUGGUACAAAAGUUUCUAUCGGGCAUGCUGCUUUUGGGAAUGUUGGAACAUCACCUUCUAGGUAACUAGUCUGUUUGAACUGUAUUACAGAAACACAGAACAAAGAUGAUGUGGACAAGAGGAUGGAUGAGAUUGAUGAUAAGACUGAGAACAUGAAGCAGGUUCAAGGAGCGUUGUCAAACCCCACUGGGGCAGCUGCUCACUUUGAUGAGGAUGAAUUGUAAUCUGAACUCGAGGAGUUGGAAGGAGCUCAGUUGGAGGAACAACUUUUACAACCUGCAACCCAAAGUCAGAUUCAAAUCAAGACUCAAGAGAAUUGCCCUACUACUAGCUUCUUUGGGUGUUAAAUUGGGAAGCCUUUGUUGUGAGAAGAAUCAUCUCCUAAUUAUCCAUCGAGGCCCGCACUUUCAUGUUCUCUUACGACUUUCAUCGGAUCUUUUGAUAUCUUCAUGUAGUUAACCAUCUAAAAUAGUGGGAUUGAUCCUGAUACAUUUAUGGGAGGGGGCUUAUACCCCUGAAAUCAUAUUCAAGCAAGAGGAUGCAUUAAAUGGCAGCCAUUAGGUCCCUUUGCAGCUGCAAGUUUUGAGUAAGUUUCUGCUUAUAGUGAUGUAGAGAAUGAACUGAACUUGGGAACUUAGUAGGUUUCCAUGGCUUUCUCAGAAUUUGAUACUUAACAUUAACAGAUUUUUUUUGGUAAGCAAUAGAAUUUCUAUUCCUUGUUUUCUUUUUUGAAUUGAUUGAUUGAAGAAUGUAUUGAAUGUGGAUUAUGGAUAGAAUGAAGAAAAGGGCUAUUGUAUUUCAGGCCUGUAAACUGGAAGCCCGGGUCCA